UGGGGAAUAUUGCACAAUGGGCGAAAGCCUGAUGCAGCAAUGCCGCGUGUGUGAAGAAGGCCUGCGGGUUGUAAAGCACUUUCGAUAGGGAAGAUUAUGACGGUACCUAUAGAAGAAGCACCGGCUAACUCCGUGCCAGCAGCCGCGGUAAUACGGAGGGUGCAAGCGUUAAUCGGAAUUACUGGGCGUAAAGCGCGCGUAGGCGACUCAGUCAGUCGGAUGUGAAAGCCCCGGGCUCAACCUGGGAAUUGCAUUCGAUACUGCUGAGAUAGAGUAUGGAAGAGGGAAGUGGAAUUCCGGGUGUAGCGGUGAAAUGCGUAGAUAUCCGGAGGAACACCAGUGGCGAAGGCGACUUCCUGGGCCAAUACUGACGCUGAGGUGCGAAAGCGUGGGGAGCAAACAGG
rnacentral:rRNA from 1 species